CAGCCGCCACGGGAAUACAGAGGGUGCGAGCGUUAAUCGGAUUUACUGGGCGUAAAGCGUGCGUAGGCGGCUAAUUGAGUCGGAUGUGAAAUCCCCGAGCUUAACUUGGGAAUUGCAUUCGAUACUGGUUAGCUAGAGUGUGGGAGAGGAUGGUAGAAUUCCAGGUGUAGCGGUGAAAUGCGUAGAGAUCUGGAGGAAUACCGAUGGCGAAGGCAGCCAUCUGGCCUAACACUGACGCUGAGGUACGAAAGCAUGGGGAGCAAACAGGAUUAGAUACCCCGGUAGUCCCUGUCUCUUAUAC
rnacentral:rRNA from 1 species